AAUGAACGCUGGCGGCAUGCCUUACACAUGCAAGUCGAACGGCAGCAUGACCUAGCUUGCUAGGUUGAUGGCGAGUGGCGCACGGGUGAGUAAUGCAUCGGAACGUGCCUUUUAGUGGGGGAUAUCGUAGCGAAAGUUACGCUAAUACCGCAUAUUCUCUGAGGAGGAAAGCAGGGGACCUUCGGGCCUUGCGCUAGAAGAGCGGCCGAUGUCGGAUUAGCUAGUUGGUGAGGUAAAGGCUCACCAAGGCAACGAUCCGUAGCGGGUCUGAGAGGAUGAUCAGCCACACUGGGACUGAGACACGGCCCAGACUCCUACGGGAGGCAGCAGUGGGGAAUUUUGGACAAUGGGCGCAAGCCUGAUCCAGCCAUGCCGCGUGAGUGAAGAAGGCCUUCGGGUUGUAAAGCUCUUUCGGCUGGGAAGAAAUCGCACCCUCUAAUACAGGGUGUGGAUGACGGUACCAGAAUAAGAAGCACCGGCUAACUACGUG
rnacentral:rRNA from 1 species